rnacentral:rRNA from 1 species
GAUGAACGCUGGCGGCGUGCCUAAUACAUGCAAGUCGAGCGAACAGACGAGGAGCUUGCUCCUUCGACGUUAGCGGCGGACGGGUGAGUAACACGUAGGUAACCUACCUAUAAGACUGGGAUAACUUCGGGAAACCGGAGCUAAUACCGGAUAAUAUUUCGAACCGCAUGGUUCGAUAGUGAAAGAUGGCUUUGCUAUCACUUAUAGAUGGACCUGCGCCGUAUUAGCUAGUUGGUAAGGUAACGGCUUACCAAGGCAACGAUACGUAACCGACCUGAGAGGGGGAGCGGCCACACUGGAACUGAGACACGGUCCAGACUCCUACGGGAGGCAGCAGUAGGGAAUCUUCCGCAAUGGGCGAAAGCCUGACGGAGCAACGCCGCGUGAGUGAUGAAGGUCUUCGGAUCGUAAAACUCUGUUAUUAGGGAAGAACAAACGUGUAAGUAACUGUGCACGUCUUGACGGUACCUAAUCAGAAAGCCACGGCUAACUACGUG